rnacentral:rRNA from 1 species
AGAAUCAACGCUGGCGGCGUGCCUAACACAUGCAAGUCGAACGCGAAAGUCCCGCAAGGGAUGAGUAGAGUGGCAAACGGGUGAGUAACACGUGGGUGACCUGCCCUCGAGCGGGGGAUAACGUCCCGAAAGGGACGCUAAUACCGCAUGACAUCCUGCCUUUGAACAGGCGGAGAUCAAAGCUGGGGAUCGCAGGACCUAGCACUCGAGGAGGGGCCCGCGCCUGAUUAGCUAGGUUGGUGAGGUAACGGCUCACCAAGGCUUCGAUC